rnacentral:lncRNA from 1 species
GAUUUAUUUGCCCAAAAAGCAAAGCGUUGGCCGAGCGGCGGGUGCCAUUCGCGCGCCGACGACCCCACAAGCCGCAAUGGCCAAAAGGGCCUACUACUACUACUACUACACCAUACGCCGGACCAACCCUCAAACCGGCCACUCAUUCGCGGGAGGCAAUACCUACAGUCGGUGAACUCUCAAAGGGGCCAAAACAAAGUCGUAAAAAGUCAAAUAGAUGUCCCAAAAGUGUCUACAGCCUGUCGUUUUGCCCGCUUGAAAAUUGUAGACAAAUGGACAUGGGACAUGUCGUCUGCUGUCGGCGCUUUAGCGCAUUCCCAAGCAGGCGAAAUAGCAGGCUGUAGACACUUUUGGGACGCUUUAUUGAUUUUUUAUGACUUUGUUUUGCCCCCUUUGAGAGUUCACCGACUGUACGGCGCUCUCGGAGAUGCCGCAGCACAAGCAGCGCGCACCGCCAGCCACGGCUACUCGUGCAACGUCUUUCGCAACAAAAAACGGCCGGCGCGUGUUGUGCGUCCAAUUCCAAGCCUCUUGAAAAAAAAAGGACGGGCGUAUAGGUGAAGAGAGAGAACUGGCGCGUCGUGCGCCGACUGUGGCCUUUCUGUCGGCAACGGAAAGGGCCGACGGCCUCCGCCCCCUCAACGCCCAAUAAACAAACUUGUGCCUCGUAAAAAAACAAACAAAAAAAAGAGAGGGUUGCAAUGUGCGCGUCAAAACUCGGUCAAGGGCGAAAGGGGGUCGGCGGCUGCAGGCCUCUUUUCUCUUCUUUUUUGUUGGCAUUC